rnacentral:rRNA from 1 species
CCCUUAGAUGCUCUGGGCCGCACGCGCGCUACACUGGUCGAUGCAACGAGUUUCUUUCCUUGGCCGACAGGCCUGGGCAAUCUUUGAACAUCGAUCGUGAUCGGGAUAGAUUCUUGUAAUUUUUGAUCUUAAACGAGGAAUUCCUAGUAAACGCAAGUCAUCAGCUUGCAUUGAUUACGUCCCUGCCCUUUGUACACACCGCCCGUCGCACCUACCGAUUGAAUGGUCCGGUGAAAUCCCCGGACUGGCGUGAGUCGGAGCAAUCUGACAAACACCGGAAAGUUGAUUAAACCUUACCAUUUAGAGGAAGGUGGAGUCGUAACA